GAUGAACGCUGGCGGCGUGCCUAAUACAUGCAAGUCGAGCGAACGGACGAGAAGCUUGCUUCUCUGAUGUUAGCGGCGGACGGGUGAGUAACACGUGGAUAACCUACCUAUAAGACUGGGAUAACUUCGGGAAACCGGAGCUAAUACCGGAUAAUAUUUUGAACCGCAUGGUUCAAAAGUGAAAGACGGUCUUGCUGUCACUUAUAGAUGGAUCCGCGCUGCAUUAGCUAGUUGGUAAGGUAACGGCUUACCAAGGCAACGAUGCAUAGCCGACCUGAGAGGGUGAUCGGCCACACUGGAACUGAGACACGGUCCAGACUCCUACGGGAGGCAGCAGUAGGGAAUCUUCCGCAAUGGGCGAAAGCCUGACGGAGCAACGCCGCGUGAGUGAUGAAGGUCUUCGGAUCGUAAAACUCUGUUAUUAGGGAAGAACAUAUGUGUAAGUAACUGUGCGCAUCUUGACGGUACCCAAUCAGAAAGCCACGGCUAACUACGUG
rnacentral:rRNA from 1 species